AUAUUUAAUAACUUUUUAAUGAACAGUCAGAUGUAUUUUGAAAGACCAUGGAAUGACUUUCCUAAAUCAUUGCAAUUAGUGCUGCCUAUACCGCAAAUGUUUAAUUAUUACCUCGAUAUGAUGGAAUAAGGUGUACGUGGAGACAGUAGCAACAGCAGCAGCCGCUUGGUAACCACAUAGAAUGGACGAUUGUCCUGCAUUAGAGCAUGAAAACAUGAAAACAAUUAACGAAAUGGAAAUAUCUAAAAUUAAAGUAUGCAGUGGACUCUCGGUUAACGAACAUUUUUUUUUGGUAAAAAAGGUUUCUCUUAACGAACGGAGCUUCGCAUAACGACCAACGAAAAAGACGGGGAGAUAACAGAAGAACAGCAACCGUCUAGUGCAAUCAGAGAAAUUUCAAAGCAUGCGAGUCUGUGGCAUCAUAAAGCAUCACCCCAAUCAGACAGAGGCAAUACGUGCAACAGAAUUAUUCAACGAUAAUGCUUUUUCUCAUUUUCGAGCGAUGUCAGUAGCAAACAACUAUCAAUUUUCUCCACAAGAAAGGAGGAAACUCGAAUAUACACAAUUAUUGGAAUAGUUGCAAAA